rnacentral:rRNA from 1 species
CAGUAGCCGCGGGAACACAGAGGGUGCGAGCGUUAAUCGGAUUUACUGGGCGUAAAGCGUGCGUAGGCGGCUUUUUAAGUCGGAUGUGAAAUCCCUGAGCUUAACUUAGGAAUUGCAUUCGAUACUGGGAAGCUAGAGUAUGGGAGAGGAUGGUAGAAUUCCAGGUGUAGCGGUGAAAUGCGUAGAGAUCUGGAGGAAUACCGAUGGCGAAGGCAGCCAUCUGGCCUAAUACUGACGCUGAGGUACGAAAGCAUGGGGAGCAAACAGGAUUAGAUACCCCUGUAGUCCCUGUCUCUUAUAA